rnacentral:rRNA from 1 species
UACGUAGGGUGCGAGUGUUAAUCGGAAUUACUGGGCGUAAAGCGUGCGCAGGCGGUUCGUUAAGUUCGUUGUGAAAGCCCCGGGCUCAACCUGGGAACUGCAAUGGAAACUGGCGGGCUUGAGUGUGGCAGAGGGGGGUGGAAUUCCGCGUGUAGCAGUGAAAUGCGUAGAGAUGCGGAGGAACACCGAUGGCGAAGGCAGCCCCCUGGGCCAACACUGACGCUCAGGCACGAAAGCGUGGGGAGCAAACAGG